rnacentral:rRNA from 1 species
GAUCCUGGCUCAGGAUGAACGCUGGCGGCGUGCUUAACACAUGCAAGUCGAACGGAAAGGCCCCUGCUUGCAGGGGUGCUCGAGUGGCGAACGGGUGAGUAACACGUGGGUGAUCUGCCCUGCACUUUGGGAUAAGCCUGGGAAACUGGGUCUAAUACCGGAUAGGACCAUCGUUUAGUGUCGGUGGUGGAAAGUUUUUCGGUGUGGGAGUGAGCUCGCGGCCUAUCAGCUUGUUGGUGGGGUAAGUGGCCU